GCGAUCCAAAUGUAAUUCAUAGAUAUUUUAUUAUCCUGUCCAGGUACUGAGACUGAAGAAGUGCAUUAUAUGUAUAUGAAUCUGUUAGUUCCCAAAGGGCACAAUAGAUCUAGAAGGGGGUUGAAUAGAUCCUUUUUAUUUUAAAUACUUUUCUGGUUUAUAUUAUAUUGUUCAUAAUCAACAUAUGACAAACUUAGAAGCUUUCUCAUGCUUGACACCAAGAUGGCUUUUGUGAUCUCCCUUCUACUACUUGAUGCCUUCUCAUGAUGGACUUGCUAAGAUGACUGUAGGCUCUUCUCUAUUGUACUUAGAGUCUUCCCAUGAUGGACACCAAGAUGACAUAAUGCUCUUCAUUCUCUCGGCAGUUCUGAACACUCUUCAUGUAGUAGAACUCUCACUUCUACAUAGUAGAACUCACACUUCUACUUCUUUCUUUAUCUGACUUCUGAGUGUUCUUGGUGGAUCGUAGAGUGAACCUUCUGACUCACUGUUUCACAUGUUUUAGAUCAGUCCACCUUCUCUCCAAACUCGGCAACUCCAGCAACCUUUGAUCUUUGAAGCUCUUCCUUAUUUAUACUCAUUCCCAAUCCUUCCGUUGGAAAGUAGCCGUUGAAGGCUACUCAAAUCUCUUCACAGAUCUCGAGUUACUUGAGGUAGACUGCUUGAUGUGACUUGUCAUACUUUUUUGACGUUGCAGUUUACUGUUUCACCUACCCUGUCAGAUGUAUCACUUUAAUGUCUUGGGCAGGUUGAAGACUUUAUUACCUCUUUUUGAUUUCUCGAUUAGAGCUUGUCCUAUUGCAUCGAUGCUCUCAAUAAGCACUUGUCCAAAUAUUACCCUUAAGAUUGAACCUUUGCCAAUGCUUCAAUCUUCAGUUAUUCGGACUCUACGAUUCUAAUGCAUGUCUUCAAGGACUCGAUCGUAGUGUCUUGUUGAGUGUUGCUCAUUGACUGGUAGAGUUAACACUACGAUCUUGAAGAGUUUUGAUUGGAUCUUUAAUGUAGAACACUUCUUCCUUGUAUUGUGUAGUGCUUCAAUACUUCUGUUUGCCUCAACUGCUCUUAGAGACUGAUGGCCUAAUUCCUUGUUCUGGUCCCCUUCUGAAUAUCAAGACACUUCAGAUUUGUGGCGCGUCCAGCUUGCUUUCUCCUUGUGAUCUCCCGUUCACUUAUCAUCAAUGAACUAACCCUGCACUUAAUCACUUUAGCCUUGCUCUUCAAAGGCUGACCAGUAUCUCGGUUCACCUUUCAUCAGUUCCUUCUUUGUUUGGCAGACACUAUGAUCUUGGUUGCUUCCAAGAUCGUUGUCUUCUAUUCACUUGAUAGCUACUGCAUAAGCUGACUUUCCUUGGUCAGGUUCUGAAGUCUUCUUUGGAUAUCCUUGUGGAAGACUUCAUCACGAAUGGCCUUACAACUCAAUCUUGAUGCUUAUUGGGUUGGUGCUUAGAUCUUCUGUUAGCCUGCAUGCCAUUCGUUGAGUGCUCUCUAGAUUCCUUGGAUGUAGCUUGCAGCUUGAACCAGAGGCUUCGUUCCUUUGGAUAUUCUGGGAGUGCUCAUAUGUUGAGAACCGUAUAUGCUCUACGAUUCUUCCUUGGCACUGUGAGCACUUCUGUUGAGGUCGUAGUUCUGCACUCUACGAUUAAGCUUCGGCUGGUGCAGACACUACGAUCCCGAGAUCAGAUCUUGACACUCUACGAUGUCUGCCUUGUGCUUGUUGUCUUCAUCUGAUCUUGCUUGACUACGAUCUCUUCAUGUAAUCAAUAAACUCUACGAACUCAGAGUGUGAUCUACGAUCCUUGACUUGGCUUUGGCAUCAGUAGACUCUACGACUCUGAGUGUAGUCUACGUUUCUAUCUUGGCUUCGGCAGAUGACUGGUCGGCUCGUAGGCAGGCUGUCUCUACGAUUCUGAACAUGACUUCCUCAGCACACUACGAUCCCAAGGAAGCUCUACUCGAUACACUACGAUCCUUCUUCGUUUCCCCUGGCAGUCUACGAACUCCGAGAUCUACUAUCUUGCAUACUCC
rnacentral:lncRNA from 1 species